AACGUAGGGGGCGAGCGUUGCCCGGAUUCACUGGGCGUAAAGCGGGUGUAGGCGGUUCCUUAAGUCGGAUGUGAAAUCUUACGGCUCAACCGUGGAACUGCAUCCGAUACUGGGGAACUUGAGGACGGUAGAGGUCGGUGGAAUUCCAGGUGUACCGGUGAAAUGGGCAGAUAUCUGGAGGAACACCAGUGGCGAAGGCGGCCGACUGGGCCGAUCCUGACGCUGAGACCCGAAAGCUAGGGGAGCAAACAGG
rnacentral:rRNA from 1 species